GGCUUCCCCGCUUUAGCGCAUCCUGAGGGGACACGCGCCCUGGAUUAAAAAGCGUUAAGACUUCACACAUCACUGAGGCUGAGCAUCAUGUAAGAUCUGGCAAGAGUUAAUUUUUGCCUAAAGAGACGUGUUUGGGAAAGAAAACACAGCUUUCUGCCUAAUUAGACAGGUUGGCCCGGCUUGCUGAGGCUGUGACACCAGCACCAGAGCUGAGCUGAAGAAAGCAUCAGGAGAACACAUCCACACACCAAACCACCCCGUUUGGAAAGAAGAUGUGAGAUCAGACACUGCAAGAGCACAGAGCAAUUUCUGAUUGCAAUGAAAUACUUGACAGACCUCGAAACCCUCAGUGCUUCUGACUUCUUCCAGGAAAAUCUGGGAGCGUCUCAGCUGCUUCUGGGGCUGCAAAAUUCCUCCCAGCAUGAAGAACAGAGGUAAGUUCGUAUUUAGAAAGCUCUACUUUUGUCAAAAUCCCAUUUAUUUAUGACACUUUCUAUAUAAUUUGAUCCACUGGUAUUUAGAAAUUCUUCCCCAAACUGGUAU